AUUUUUUGCUAUAUCACUCAAGGUGAGAACCUCCUCUUCUGAUUUAGCAUGGACGAAAUAGUUUCCAGUUAUGGCACGAUACUCUUUAGCCUUACCUUGGAUAAUGGCCUUUGAAUAUGUUUCAUCACAAAAUAAGUAGACAAUGAUCAGAGCGAAAAAUCCCAUAAAUGAAGUAAUGUACUCUGUCCAUCUCCAUCCCAAAUAAGAUUUCGUGAGAAAUCCACCAACGAUAGGAGACACCAAAGGACCAUCAAACACCAUAGCAGAGAAUAGCGUAAUGGCGGUUCCACGAUAUUUGUUGGAGUACAUAUCGGCCAAUGCUGCAGCGACAACCGUUAAUGGAGCGCUAGCAAAAAAGCCGGCAAAAAAUCGACACAUCAUAAUCGUUUGAAUGUCUUUGCCAACAGCAACACUAAUGUUAAAAAUACCAAAACCCAACAUUCCAAUUAAUAUAGGAGGUUUCCUACCACUUAGUUCAGACAGCGGAGCCCAAAUAAUAGGACCCGAACAAUAACCGAGUAAAAACACUGUCAUGGUAAGCAAAGAUACGGUAAGACUAAUGUGAAAAACAGUAGUGAUAGCUUCAGCAGGUACAGCGAAAACAGAAGAUGCAAAACUAGAACAAAGUGCAACAUACGCUAAAAUGCAAGUAGUUUUAAGCUUACGUUUAAAUGGCCAAUUUACAGCGAUCAAAGGACUUUUCGGAUCGAUUGAAAAGACAAAUCGCUCAGGUUCUUCGACAACGGGAAACACUUGUAAAAGAGGAUCUUGGAUACAUUUUUCCACAUCAUCAGGGUUUGGCUCAGUUUUGGAAUUUUGGUUGGAAGGAUUACUAUUUACAGGUGUUAAAUUUUGAAAACUUUCACCAGCAGUAGUAGGAUAUCUCGCAGCAAAUCUGGCAGAAGUUGAGAAAUUGGAAGUGGCAGAUCUCGAAAGCUGCGGCAAUUGGUAUGAAUUGUUAGACGCAUGGCUUACAGUAUGAUACAACUCUGGAUGAGCAGAUGCAGAUUGGGAGACAGUAUUUUGCAAGGCUAGCUCUUCGGCCGUAGGAGUUGAAGACAUUGUGAAUCCGGAACUUUUUUAAUCUAAUGAGUGACGGAGAAGGGGAUUAAACAAGAAAAAAGAAAAAAGGCUGCUAAUAUUGCCAAAUCGGACGAAAUGUAGUAUAUAAACCCAGUAGAUGGUAGCAAAGUAAAAUAAAAACACACACACAAACACAGAUGGUACUACUAAAGUAAGAAACGUAAAGUAGCAAGGAAGAAAAAUAGGAAAAGAAAAAUUAAACAGUUAAAAGAAGGUGACGGAUGAAAGAUGAAAUGCUGUGAAAGAUCGUAUGGUUUCGAGUAAAGAUCAAACGAAUUAAUUAAAAUUGAGCAAACCACAAAAACUCAGAAAUAAAUAUGUGAAUAAACAGUUCCACCAAAAAAAGGU